AGUGGUGUGCUGUCGCCUCUGCCACCAGCGCGCCGGUGCCACGGAGACUCGUGUCCUUGCUACCUUCUUCGGGCUUCCCGGGGCCUGAUCCCCGGGGCCCUCGGCAGGCGUCAGCCGAGCCUGUGCGCGAACCUGCGGCCCUCCGCUCGCCCUUCACGACCCGGCAGCGCGACUCGGACUCAGGGAGCGAAAGGGACUGUGGCGACUCCGCGCCGUGUGUCGCCGGGCGGGGCCGCGGGGCCGGGGCUCCUCCAGCCCCCGGGAUGCGUGCGCGAGCUCUCGCCUCCACUUUCUCUUUACCGCUGUCACGCGUGGAGCCGCCUCUCGCCUACAGCGGGGAGCGCGAGUGCACAGAUCAGCAGCACCCCUGUCGAGCCCCGGUGCCGGGUACCCCCGGGAAUGUGAGCCGCGAGGCUCGCAAGCUCCUCCGGGUAAGUCCCCGCCCUCUAGGCUCACCCCGCCCCGCCGAUGUGCCCAGGCACCUGAGUUUGGGGUGCUGCGGCUGCCUUUCCAGCUUCUGUUUGCCCGGUGCUACGAGGGGAACCAUUCCCUUUAGUCUCUAACUUAGGGACAGCCCAGAGAGGGGGAAAAAAAAGUAGCCCGUGGCUCAGUUGCUAAAAGCCAUCCUCUGAGGUUCCACGGAAGGUUUGGUAGGGUAGUUAAAGUGUCUCAUUUCAGGUGUGGCCUAUUCUACAGAUGAGAAAAGAAAGAUUUAAAGAGGGAAAGUAGCCUGUUUAAAAGGUCGUAUAGGGAUCUGUAAUAGUGCUAUUCAACGGGGGUGGGAGGAGCUAAAUUAGGGCUCAGACCUUAUGUCCUCCAAAGGGCCCUCUUCUUAAUCUUCUUGCUUUGGUGUUUGAGAGUGUCUCAUGCAUCCCGGGCUGGCCUCAAAUUCACUAUUGUAGGUGAGGUGAGCUUUCAACUUUCUGUCCUGCUUCCGUCUCCUAAGUCCUAGAACUGUAGGCAUUCCCCACCACACCCAACUCACGGAGCUGUUUCUAGCCUUCCUAUUUUUCUGUAUCUCUUUGCUUUGCUCUACUGAGGUCUAGGAACUGAACACAAACUUAUAUCCCCAGAUAUAGGGCACUGUAGUCAAACAAACAGGAACCCAAGAUGGUCCUUUCUUGUCUCCAAGGUAUGGGCUCUUGGUUAGUUCAGGAUGCUAAGAUAACUGGCUCUGGGUUAGUUGUGGCUGUUAAAACUUGUUCCGUUCUUUACACGCUCACUCCUGAGCAAUACUGCUUUCUUCCAGAGGCUUUUAAGGGCCAGGAUACCAGUUAUAUAUAGGACAAAAAGUUUGAUCCCCAUAUGUUCUUGGUGUGCAGCUGCCCGUAACCAAUUUGCCUUUUGCUUACAGAGCCACAUUGUGGGCUGUCUUCUUGGGUUUCGCUGUAACUGUUAGGAAGCAAAUCUUUUGUUUUUUGUUUGUUUGUUUGUUUUUCUUUUUCCUCUUUGUAAGGUUUUAGGGAAGGACGGCAGAAGAGAAGUCACUGUAGAGCUGACACAAUUAAGGCACUUAGAGCUGAGACAACUAUAAAAUAACUGAGGAAUAUGUUCUUAACCUGGGGUAUAUCUUUAAGAUGGGGACUGGAAAGAUGGCACAGCAAUUAAGAGCAUUAAUUGCUCUUUUAGCGGUCCCCAAUUCAGUUCCCAGGACACACAUGGCAGUUCACACCUGUCUGUGACUUCUUUUCCAGGGCAUCUCACACCCUUACACAGGCAUACACGCCAUCAAAACACCAGUGAGCGUUUAAAAAAAAGAACAAAAAAUGGGACUAUAGAAAUGGCUCUGUAGUUUUUUAGGUUUUCCUCCUUUUUCUAUGUAUGAGGGGGUGCUGUGCAUACUCAUGUGUCAUGGAUGGAAGUUUGCAACGUGUGGACACCCAAGGUAACGUCCAGAAUCUUACUAGAUCACUCAUUUGAAGCAGGGUCCUUAAUCAAAACCAGAGAUGGACAACAUGGCUACUCAUCCUCCUGGGGCCCCGUCUCCACUUCCCAAGACAGUUAGCAUACACAUAGGCUAUCACUUCCACCCAACAUUCAUGUGGGCUCUGGGAAUCGUGACUCUCACCCUGAUAGCUGCUGAACAGGUGCUAGCACCAAAAGAAAUACUUUUGACAGAUGUCAGAACCCCUCCUCUACAGCACUCAGACACACAAUGUUUCACCCCCAUUAAAU
rnacentral:lncRNA from 1 species